GCCUUCGUCAGAUCCAUGUGACCUACUGGCUCUUAUGCUCUGCAAAUUUUUCUUGAUAGAGAUGCCUGCCAGCCUGGCUGUAAUCCCAGAGAAGAUAGAAAUAGCAGAGCUCAUGGCUCCAACUUCCAUCCUCUCUUUGGCCUGAAGUCUUUCUCCACUGUUGCCGGAGUUUUAAUUUCCUUUAUUGCCUUGGCCACCUCAAGCCCCCUUCUGGGAUGAUGGAACUUUGUCAGAGCAUCAGGAUUGGGCUGGCAUGCUUUCCAGAGGUCGUGGUCUAGAGAAACACGAGAACAUUUCAUUAUCUCCUUAGGAGGCACAGUCAGACUGUCAUCAUCCCUCCUGUUUCCUUCAAGCCAAGUGAUCCCACCAAAGGAAGUCAUGUGAUUUAACCCCUCACCACAAUCUCCAUCAACUCUACUUGCCCCCAACCCCAUCAUAUAAUCUAAGGAAAAGCAGUGUGCUUGCUAACUCCAGAGAGUAAACCCUUUCCACACACACUGCUACAGCCUACUAGAAAACUCUUGGAGUUAAGCUGAACUUGCUCAAGGAUGAACACCUGAAAUAGUUUCCACGAAUGCUGCUAAUAUGUAGGAAACGACUUAUAUAAUACAGAGUUCCUUUGAGCCUCAUAGUUUUCAUUUCUAAAAGGUUUUUACAACGUGUUAAUUUUAUGUAUCAACUAGGCUGGGCCAUGGUGCCCAGGCACUUGAUCAAACAUUAUUCUGGAUGAUCCUGUGAAGAUGUUUUUGGAUGAGAUUAACAUUUACAUUGGUGGACUUCGAGUAAAGCAAUUUACCCUUAAUAAUGGAGGUUGGCUUCAUCCAAUCUGUUGAAGGCCUUAAUGAAACAGAUUGAUGUCCCUUGAGCAAGACUCAACUUGCAGUUCUUCCCUGAAUCUCCAGCUGCUGGCCUAACACAUCAGAUUCUGGGCUCACCCAGCUUCCACAAUCACAUGUGAUCAACAGUCUGAGGGCCUGCCAGCUACACGCCAAGCUCCAGCCGCGUGCACUCAAUCACAGCUAGUUUUCAUUUGAUUCUCACGACUCCGACAUGAGAGGUGCCUUCCUCAACAUUUUCGAAGCCCACACAAAUGCUCACACCAGCUUGUGGCCUCCAUCUACCCGGUCCAGAAGCAGAAGCAACACGAUGUGCGAGCUGUUUGUCUUUCUCGAAGUCUGUCUGCUAAGG